UCUUCGAUGGUCUAGUGGUCAUGAUUUCCGCUUGUCAUGAUAGAUAUCUAUCUAACAAGCGCGGGAGACCGGGGUUCGAUUCCCCGUCGGAGAG